GACGAACGCUUGCGGCGUGCUUAACACAUGCAAGUCGAACGGAAAGGCCCUGCUUUUGUGGGGUGCUCGAGUGGCGAACGGGUGAGUAACACGUGAGUAACCUGCCCUUGACUUUGGGAUAACUUCAGGAAACUGGGGCUAAUACCGGAUAGGAGCUCCUGCUGCAUGGUGGGGGUUGGAAAGUUUCGGCGGUUGGGGAUGGACUCGCGGCUUAUCAGCUUGUUGGUGGGGUAGUGGCUUACCAAGGCUUUGACGGGUAGCCGGCCUGAGAGGGUGACCGGCCACAUUGGGACUGAGAUACGGCCCAGACUCCUACGGGAGGCAGCAGUGGGGAAUAUUGCACAAUGGGCGGAAGCCUGAUGCAGCAACGCCGCGUGCGGGAUGACGGCCUUCGGGUUGUAAACCGCUUUCGCCUGUGACGAAGCGUGAGUGACGGUAAUGGGUAAAGAAGCACCGGCUAACUACGUGCCAGCAGCCGCGGUGAUACGUAGGGUGCGAGCGUUGUCCGGAUUUAUUGGGCGUAAAGGGCUCGUAGGUGGUUGAUCGCGUCGGAAGUGUAAUCUUGGGGCUUAACCCUGAGCGUGCUUUCGAUACGGGUUGACUUGAGGAAGGUAGGGGAGAAUGGAAUUCCUGGUGGAGCGGUGGAAUGCGCAGAUAUCAGGAGGAACACCAGUGGCGAAGGCGGUUCUCUGGGCCUUUCCUGACGCUGAGGAGCGAAAGCGUGGGGAGCGAACAGGCUUAGAUACCCUGGUAGUCCACGCUGUAAACGGUGGGUACUAGGUGUGGGGUCCAUUCCACGGGUUCCGUGCCGUAGCUAACGCUUUAAGUACCCCGCCUGGGGAGUACGGCCGCAAGGCUAAAACUCAAAGGAAUUGACGGGGCCCCGCACAAGCGGCGGAGCAUGCGGAUUAAUUCGAUGCAACGCGUAGAACCUUACCUGGGUUUGACAUGGAUCGGGAGUGCUCAGAGAUGGGUGUGCCUCUUUUGGGGUCGGUUCACAGGUGGUGCAUGCCUGUCGUCAGCUCGUGUCGUGAGAUGUUGGGUUAAGUCCCGCAACGAGCGCAACCCUUGUUCACUGUUGCCAGCACGUUAUGGUGGGGACUCAGUGGAGACCGCCGGGGUCAACUCGGAGGAAGGUGGGGAUGACGUCAAGUCCCCAUGCCCCUUAUGUCCAGGGCUUCACGCAUGCUACAAUGGCUGGUACAGAGAGUGGCGAGCCUGUGAGGGUGAGCGAAUCUCGGAAAGCCGGUCUCAGUUCGGAUUGGGGUCUGCAACUCGACCUCAUGAAGUCGGAGUCGCUAGUAAUCGCAGAUCAGCAACGCUGCGGUGAAUACGUUCCCGGG
rnacentral:rRNA from 1 species